UCCCACCCUGGUCUGCCUCCCCUCAGAGGUCACCAUAAGAGAUGGCUGUAAUGACCUGGAGAGGUCAGCUGGCCAGAGUUCAAGUCUUCCUCCUGCCCCUUCCUAGGUAACCUUGCAAGAAUCCCUUAACCUCUCUGAGCAGCCAUUUUACCUGCAAACGAGUGUCAUCUCCCUGCCUCCUUGUGAGGAUCUACGAUCAGAGAGAAGGCACCCAGCACAGUGCCCAGGACACAGAGGGGCAACAGCGAUUGCAGAGAUCCUUCGGGGGCCACCCCCACAGAGGCAGGGCCGUACAGUGGUCAGAGCGAUGGGAUGGGAGCCCCAACCAGCACCCGCUCUGCUAAGGUGAAAGUCAGAUCUGAUCAUUCCUAAUGCCCCCCUGGCCUGCCUAGGUCUUGGUCUUGAUGGUUUGGGAGCAAAGCAUGCUUUCUUCAGCCCUAGUCGGGCUUCGCCAGGCUCAGGGAGAAGUCAGGUCUGAGAUGUUCAAGUUCAGCCUCCCUGCACCGUCUCCACGGGCACCGGGCGGUGGCUCCACCCCCCUGGCCAUUCCCCACUCGGUGCCCAAGUCUCUCGUCCCAACGGGGGGCUGUGGGGCUGCGGCUAAUUGCAAAUCAUUUCUCAGGGCUCCCCGCUGUUCAGCUAAAUUCACUGGAACUAAUGUGUCCCGAAACAAAUUUCACAGAAGAGGCAGGGCAAUUACAUGAUGCUUAGUUCCCCUCCCCCACCUCCCCCAGCAGAGGCUCAGGGCUGGGGGCCGAGAGGACUGGAUGGAGCGGGCAGGGAACACGGAUGCAGGAGGUCUUCUCAGAGGCCAAGCCCCUACUCCAUCCAACCUUCCCGAACCUUACUACUGCCAUCUCACUGCGUGGGACAGCAUCACCCCUCCUCUGUCCCUCAUCCCUCCCAACAACUCCAUCGCCUUCAUCCCCAAGCUUCGGACACACCUUGAUAUAAUCAAAACAGUAAGCACUGGCUCUGCAACAGACCUGGGCUCAAACCCAGCUCCCACAGUUAUUAGCUGUGGGUCCUUAGAAGUCACUGAGUCUCUCUGAGCUUCUGUUUCCCAGUCCCUGCAAUGAGGAUACCAUGACUUGGCUACCAUUGGCUGCUGUGAAGAUUAGAGAAAAGAAUACAAUAAGAUAUUUUAUGUCGGUCCAGAAUAUAGUAGGCCCUCAGUAAAUACUGAUUCCUUCCAGCGCCUACUUUAUAUGAUCAUUUCGAGGUGAUCAGAUGAAUGUCUGCAGAGAGUCUCGGAGUCAAUUCAAAGCAAGAGAAUCAGAAAGCAAAGACCCAGAUUCACCUCCUCGAACAAGUCACCAAACAUGCCAUCUCUCUGUCUACCACUUCCCCAUCUCAUCCCAGGCUCAUCCUUCCAGACUGUUCCCCUCAAAAUAACUCUCUCCUUCCUCCACAGUGUCUCAGCAUUUCCCGUGAGCCUCUUGGAGAGCCUUGAUUUCAUUCUGCGUCCCCAGUUUCUUGGUGGACUGAAGUCACUACAGAACUGUGUGGCCAAGAAGACUCGUGAGGAAUGUUCAGGCCGGUUGCUGGUGACCAUUUCUCCCUCUUGGGACUCAAGGUGGGCAGGCCCAGAUCCUGCAAAGGAAAACAAUAAUUUGCCAUCAAGAUAGCCAGCAACAGGAGUUCUCGUCAUGGCUCAGCAGUAAUGAACCUGACUAGUACCCAUGAGGAUGCGGGUUCGGUCCCUGGCCUCGCUCAGUGGGUUAAUGAUCUGGUGUUGCCAUGAGCUGUGGUGUAGGUCGCAGACAUGGUUCCAAUCCUGAGUUGCUGUGGCCGUGGCUGUGGCCGGCAGCUACAGCUCCGAUUCCAUCCCUAGGCUGGGAACUUCCAUAUGCCGCAGGUGCGACCCUAAAAAGCAAAAAAAUAAAAAUAAAAAAUUAAUUAAAAAAAAAAGAUUGCCAGGAACAGGACCUCAGUAAAUGUUUCCUGACUGGUGGCAGAAGUGGGCUGGGCCGAGGGUCCCCUGUCACCUUGGGAACCCACUCCUUCACCUGCUCACCACACCAUGCCAGCCUACCUGCAGGUAUCAAGGAGAUUGUCUUGUGUGACUGGAUUCAUGCCAGCUUUUGUUUUUCAAAAGUUAGGGAAACCACUCCCUCACUGAUGAAGAAAUAAAAAUGCAUCUGGAAAGAGCAGGUUGAAGCAUUGAGGUUUCAAUGAUCAUUGCAGAGCCUCAAAGACCAAAAUAAGGACUUGGUUCUAAAGACAAGGGGGAGAUUUUGAAGGUUUUAAGCAGGGGAAAUGAAUUCAGGGUUUGAGAAGAUUUCUAUGGCUGGGAUUGGAGGCUGGAGGGGGAAGGGAAGAGGGGAGGGGAGGAAGCAGACAGGCCAGUGGGGAGACUGCUGUCCUGGGAAGCAAUGAAAGCACCCUGGCCAAGGAUGAAGGUGGGACGCUGCAGAGCUGGGACAUAGUCCCAUCACGCAGGUGGGCAAACUAGACUCAGAAGGGAAGCUGCCUGCCCACCCCAGGCUGCCCUGCCAGUCAGGGGGGAGGUUCAGACCCCAGAGCUCCUGUCUCAGGCCAGGCCCUGUUUCAUUUCCCCAUCAUCAACUGCUCCAUGGGGGAGCUGGGCUAAGCGAGCGCCAGCUAACAUUUCCACGCUUCCCAGCCUUCCUCACUACUUCAAAAAUCCCUGUAGUGUAUCCUUUUGUGAUGAGAAUAAUCACCCCUAAUUUAUCUGCAUCAGAAGUUCAGUAUCACUUUUCUUUUCAGCGCUGUGAGCACAUCUGUAUUCCUGUCCAGAAAUAAAAUACUAUUUUAAAAAAGCUAACUUGGGGUUGCUUAGGAGGGCUAGUCUUUCAUGUCAGUGAGCAUCUUUAGGGGCAGAGGCUGUGUAAGUCAUCCCUGUGCCCCACUGGGCCACGGCAAGGGCACAGUGAAUGGUAAAAAGGGAAGCUUUUAAGGGCAGGAACGAUUCUGACCUUACGGCACACUCAGUGAUGUGCCAAGCCCUGUCAUUUAAUUUUUCAUUGAAUCCUCAUAAUAUGAAAUAAAGUCGACUUAUUCUUGUCCCCAUUUUUCAGCUGGGGCCACUGAGGCUCAGAGAGGUGAAGCCAUUUGUCUAAGGUCACACAGCCUGUAAAAGCCAAGACUCAGACCAGGUGACGGUUAAGCCUAUGUUCUGAAAUUUGAGGGUCUUGUUCUGUUUGGUUUUGUCUUUUUGCGGCAUAUGGAAGUUCCCAGAUCAGGGAUCAAACCUGUGCCUCAACAGUGACCUGAGUCACUGCAGUGACAACACUGGAUCCUUGCCCUGCUGCACCAUAGUGGGAACUCCUGAGGUCUAUUUUGAGGAAGGAAAGGGGGAAAGAAGGAAAGAAGAAAAGAGGAGAGAAAAGAAGGAAGGAAGGGAGGGAGGGAAAAAAGAAGGAAGGAAUUUCUAGAGAAGGAAUUCAAUUCCUUUGUCAUCCAUUGCCUCUUUAGACCUUAGAUGAUUCUCCAGAUCAAAGAGGUCGGGGGGCGGGGGGGGCGGUGAGCUGGGGGGGAUGGGUGAAGGUUAAACCACGGCUGCCUGAAAACUGGCCUAUGCCAGCACAGAGUUAGUUUCUGGCUCUCAAAAUCUCUCUUCUGCCCUGAACUCGUUGUCCCCAACCUCUCCUCUAGUCAGUUUCCUUAUUCCUUCUUCCCCAAGGUCCCCUCGAGGGAGUGGGGGGCGAGGGGGACAGGGAGAAUAUAUACACAUAUGAGUAAGUUGUCUCCUGCGACCCCAUCUGCCCUUGGCUAAAUGAAUGCAGUGUCAGCCCAGAUAAUUCCAAAGCCAUAAAGAUGAUAUUUAAAAAGUAGGGGAGUCUGGGCUGGGGAGGGAUGGUGGUGGAGGAAGAGAUUACAAAAAAGGAGGAUGAGCUGUGUGGCUUUGCUCCUUAUCUAACCCACAGCAGGCUUGGCUGGGGGCUGUCUCUCUCCAGGGGGAGCAAGCAGGACUGCCACCCCGGCCAGCCUGCCCCCCUCCUCAGUCCCACCCCCACCCCACAGUGCAGCACGACACCCUAGAGAAGAAUCCACCCCAGCAGGAGCACAGGACCAGUCCAAGAGGUAUUGACAGCUGAGUAGGGAAUGGUGAGUUGGGGCCUUCAAGAGCUGUCACCAAGGCUGGGGCUGGGGACCUGGGGGCCCACCUGUCUGAGAGACCCGAGGCAUGGGCCCAGCUAUGAAGGGAAAAUGUCUCAGGAUGCUAGAGGUCACUCUUGGACAACUUGGUUAUUUUAAUGAAUACUGGCUCUGGAAAAUGGGACAAGGCGGGGCAUGUAAUAACUGUAUAACUCCUAUGAGCCUCAGCUUCCCUGCCUGUACAAUGGGCUCCAUGAAGCCCCCACCCAUACCCUUCUUUCUUCAAGGGUCAACACAACUAUUUAUGGGACGAAGAGGGGAAGGUGACAGUUCCCAAUCCAAAGGCAGGGGCUGGAAGUCCCCAGCAAGGGCAUCGUUUUUUUUGUCUUGGAGAGACAGACAGAUGUACACACACAGAGACAGAAUUAAAGUGGCAAAGAGAGGAGUUCCCAUCAUGCCUCAUCGGUUAACGAACCCAACUAGCAUCCAUGAGGACUCGGGUUCGAUCCCUGGCCUCGUUCAGUGGGUUAAGGAUCUGGCAUUGCCGUGAGCUGUGGUUUAGGUCACAGACACGGCUUAGAUCCAGCCUUGCUGUGGCUGCGGUAUAGGCCAGCAGCUACAGCUCCGAUUGGAGCCCUGGCCUGGGAACCUCCAUAUGCUGCAGGUGCGGCCCUAAAAAGACAAAAGACAAAAAAUAAAAAUAAAAAAUAAAUAAAGCGACAAAGAGAGACAGAGUGAGACAGAUGAUCAGAUACAAAAAAACUGAGGGAGACAGAGAUAAUAAGAGAGGCAAGCAGAGAGAGACAAUAAGAAAUACAGAGAUAGGGAGUUUCUAACGGGUUAAAGAUUCAGCGUUGUUACUGCUGUGGCUCUGGUUCUAUCCCUGGCCUGGGAACAGCAAAAAAAAAAAAAAAAAAAA
rnacentral:lncRNA from 1 species